UCCAGGGGAUCUUCCUGACCCAGGGAUCGAACCCGUAUCUCCUGUGUCUCUUGCAUUGGCAGGUGGGUUCUACCACUGAACCACCUGGGAAGCCCAUCCAUGUGUAAAAGGUAGACAUGUAUACGUAUACCUACUAUGAACAUUUUUAAAAAGAAAUGAGGUUUUAAUUUGAGGAAAAGAAAGGGUUAAGAAAUGGCUUAAAGUCUUUUUUAAAACAUUUAUUUUAUUUAUUUGGCUGCACUGCGUCCAGAGAAAGAAAUGACAACCCACUCCAGUACUCUUGCCUGGAGAAUCCCAUUGACAGAGGAGACUGGUGGGUACAGUCCAUGGGGUCGCAAAGAGUUGGACACAACUGAGCGACUCUUUCACUUUUCAUGAACAUUUUUAAAAGGAAAUAGGGUUUUAGUCUGAGGAAAAGAAAGGCUUAAGAAAUGGUUUAAUGUCUUAAAAUAUAUAUAUAUAUAUUUCUUUGGCUGCACUGGGCCUUAGCUGCAGCCCGUGGGGUCUUUGAUGUUCCUUGUGGCAGGGAGGUUCUUUUAGGUUCAGCAUGUGGGCUCUUCAGUGGCAGCAUGUAAACUCUUAGGGCACGUGGGAUCUAGUUUUCUGAUCAGGGAAUGAACCCAGGUCUCCUGCAUUGGAAGCGCAGAGUAUUAGCCACUGGACCACCAAGGAAGUCCCUUGAAGUCUUAUUUAUAAAUUUAUAAAGAUGAACUCACUGGUAGAAACUUUUAGGAUCACCCCAGCAGUUGUGAUGACAUCCUAAGAAAACAUCUUCUGACCCCCUGAAGCUUAGCCCUGCAGUUCAGAACAUGUCCUCUUCCUCAACUUCCUGCUAAAGACUCAUUGCUUAUCAGGAACCUCUUUUGUUUUGUUUUAGGGUCCAGGAUAGGCAGGAAUCCUACUUGAAGCUGAAAUUCCCAGCCCAGUUUUCAAAGCAAGUUAUCCAUCCCUUCUGCAUUUUUUUUUCCAAGGAUGGAGGCAGAGGCCAGCCAAGGGGGCGCUUGGCACCACAUGGCUUUGCAACUGGGGAAGGAUUCUCUGUGCUGAACUCUGUUCUUCGUUUAUGUGUUUUGAAGCGUAAUGAUCGCAUCAGUAAAUGCUGGAGCAGGCUCUUACGUCAUUUUGUGUGUGUGUGUGUGUUCAUUUUGAGAUCAGAAUUUUAUCAGAUAUUAAACAGAUUGCGCCCCCUCUCCCCUACACCCUCCCCCCUCCCCAC
rnacentral:lncRNA from 1 species